AUACGGAGGGUCCAAGCGUUAUCGGGAUUCAUUGGGUUUAAAGGGUCCGCAGGCGGGAAAAUAAGUCAGUGGUGAAAGCCUACAGCUCAACUGUAGAACUGCCAUUGAUACUGUUUUUCUUGAGUAUAGAUGAAGUGGGCGGAAUAUAUCAUGUAGCGGUGAAAUGCAUAGAUAUGAUAUAGAACACCGAUUGCGAAGGCAGCUCACUAAACUAUUACUGACGCUCAGGGACGAAAGCGUGGGGAGCGAACAGGAUUAGAAACCCUAGUAGUCC
rnacentral:rRNA from 1 species